CGGGAUAGCUCACCUGGUAAAGCAAAGGACUGA
rnacentral:tRNA from 1 species